rnacentral:tRNA from 1 species
GCCUGGCUGGCUCAGUGGGUAGAGCAUGAAACUCUUGAUCUCAGGGUUGUGAGUUCAAGCCGCAUGUUGGACA